UCUUUUUCCACCGGCAGCUAUGCUCCACCGGAAAAAGAAGAGUGGCGAACGGGUGAGUAACACGUGGGUAACCUGCCCAUCAGAAGGGGAUAACACUUGGAAACAGGUGCUAAUACCGUAUAACAAUCGAAACCGCAUGGUUUUGAUUUGAAAGGCGCUUUCGGGUGUCGCUGAUGGAUGGACCCGCGGUGCAUUAGCUAGUUGGUGAGGUAACGGCUCACCAAGGCCACGAUGCAUAGCCGACCUGAGAGGGUGAUCGGCCACAUUGGGACUGAGACACGGCCCAAACUCCUACGGGAGGCAGCAGUAGGGAAUCUUCGGCAAUGGACGAAAGUCUGACCGAGCAACGCCGCGUGAGUGAAGAAGGUUUUCGGAUCGUAAAACUCUGUUGUUAGAGAAGAACAAGGAUGAGAGUAACUGUUCAUCCCUUGACGGUAUCUAACCAGAAAGCCACGGCUAACUACGUGCCAGCAGCCGCGGUAAUACGUAGGUGGCAAGCGUUGUCCGGAUUUAUUGGGCGUAAAGCGAGCGCAGGCGGUUUCUUAAGUCUGAUGUGAAAGCCCCCGGCUCAACCGGGGAGGGUCAUUGGAAACUGGGAGACUUGAGUGCAGAAGAGGAGAGUGGAAUUCCAUGUGUAGCGGUGAAAUGCGUAGAUAUAUGGAGGAACACCAGUGGCGAAGGCGGCUCUCUGGUCUGUAACUGACGCUGAGGCUCGAAAGCGUGGGGAGCAAACAGGAUUAGAUACCCUGGUAGUCCACGCCGUAAACGAUGAGUGCUAAGUGUUGGAGGGUUUCCGCCCUUCAGUGCUGCAGCUAACGCAUUAAGCACUCCGCCUGGGG
rnacentral:rRNA from 1 species